rnacentral:rRNA from 1 species
GUGAGUAGUUCAGAGUUUGAUCCUGGCUCAGGAUGAACGCUAGCGGCAGGCCUAACACAUGCAAGUCGAGGGGGAUUAUGAUUGAAGCUUGCUUUAAUUAUAUGAGACCGGCGCACGGGUGCGUAACGCGUAUGCAACCUACCACUAACAGGGAGAUAACACCGAGAAAUUGGUACUAAUACCCCAUAAUACUUUGGAAGGCAUCUUUUGAAGUUGAAAGCUCCGGCGGUUAGUGAUGGGCAUGCGUUGUAUUAGAUAGUUGGUGAGGUAACGGCUCACCAAGUCGACGAUACAUAGGGGGACUGAGAGGUUAGCCCCCCACACUGGUACUGAGACACGGACCAG